UACGGGGGGAGCAAGGCGUUGUCCGGAUUUAUUGGGCGUAAAGAGCGUGUAGGCGGCCAGACAGGUCCGUUGUGAAAACUCGAGCUCAACCUCGAGACGCCGAUGGAAACCGUUUGGCUAGAGUCCGGAAGAGGAGAGUGGAAUUCCUGGUGUAGCGGUGAAAUGCGCAGAUAUCAGGAAGAACACCCGUGGCUAAGGCGGCUCUCUAGUACGGUACUGACGCUGAGACGCGAAAGCGUGGGGAGCGAACAGG
rnacentral:rRNA from 1 species